rnacentral:misc_RNA from 1 species
AGAUGAUGAGGAUGAUGAGGAUGAGGAUUUUCACAGUGAUGACAGUAAUGAUGAAGGAAUGGAGGUAAUAGCAAAAGAGUUUGGAGUGAAAAGAUACGGAUGGCUUGUUUACAUGGACAAAAAGGCUAAGGAGGAAGAGAAGAGGCAAAAGGAAAUAAUCAAAGGUGAUCCUGCAAUUAGGAAGCUAAGUCGCAAGGAAAGAAGGAAAGCAUCUCAAAUGGAACGGGAAAGGGAAAGAGAAGCUGCACGAAUUACUGGUACCAGAGUCCUACAUCAUGAUCCUUACCGAGAAUCUAGACGAAGUCCAACUUAUGAUGCUUAUCCACGUUCUAGAAGAUCAAGGUCCAGAUCACAUUCCCCAUCACACUCAAGGCAUCAUUCUCGUGGUCAUUUUGAUGAUGUUCAUCGGAGCAAACCAAGGACUCCAAAAAUUGAA